GAUGAACGCUGGCGGCGUGCUUAACACAUGCAAGUCGAACAGAAAGGCCCAAGCUUGCUUGGGUACUCGAGUGGCGAACGGGUGAGUAACACGUGGGUGAUCUGCCCUGCACUUCGGGAUAAGCCUGGGAAACUGGGUCUAAUACUGGAUAGGACCACUUCUUGGAUGGUGUGGUGGAAAGUUUUUUCGGUGUGGGAUGAGCUCGCGGCCUAUCAGCUUGUUGGUGGGGUAAUGGCCUACCAAGGCGUCGACGGGUAGCCGGCCUGAGAGGGUGUACGGCCACAUUGGGACUGAGAUACGGCCCAGACUCCUACGGGAGGCAGCAGUGGGGAAUAUUGCACAAUGGGCGCAAGCCUGAUGCAGCGACGCCGCGUGGGGGAUGACGGCCUUCGGGUUGUAAACUCCUUUCGCUAGGGACGAAGCGUUUUUGUGACGGUACCUGGAGAAGAAGCACCGGCUAACUACGUG
rnacentral:rRNA from 1 species